ensembl:lncRNA
GACUUAACUAAUCAUAAUGCAGUAACUUUAACAGAAAGGGCGGGAAGUUUAAUUAAGUCUUGUCCCUUAAAAAAAAAAAACGUAUUGUCGCAUGGCUUAAACAAACGACACCGGUUUCGACAAUAGGUUAGGAUUUCAUCAUCUUUCCCCAGUUUAUGCAGAACCCGAUUAGUGAGUUAUGUCUGCAUUGGCACCACUGUGACUGUGAACACGGAUCCUUCCUCUGCACACUUUCAAGAACGAGCCGAGCGCGAACUGAUAUUUUACCACGCCGUCGCCGUUUUUUCUCGUUACCUGGUUGUAUUUCCUCCCGACAAAUGCUGUUCCCUGACUUUACUAUGAGCCCAGUCAUUUCACUCCGCUUUGCAAUGGACAUUGCGGCGGCCGUUGCUUAGCAACCACAAAGCCUCACGGAGGCAACCGUAUUGUCCAGUUAAAACCAGGGGAAAGUGGGCGUCAUCUCCACUUGGUGUGGUGUGAAGUUAUUGAGUGCGGUGUCCGUUGUUUUGAACGUGGACUUUCACGCGGGAGGGUAACGCAGCUUCACCCGCAACACUGCAGCAAUGACCGCCGAAACGAGCUUGUUCCGCUUGCUGGAUUUGUGUAUCGACGCGCCGCAGUUCAGCACAGUAAACUACUCGGCUCUGCACUCGCUGCUGCGCCAGAUGUUGAAUAUGCUGCAGCUCCAGGGCAUCAUUCCCUUGGAGGAGGAGGAGGAGGAGGAGGAAGAGGAGGAGGAGGAGCUGGAGCUGGAACUGGAGGAGAAGGUGGCUCUGAAGGAUAUGUCUCAGUCAAUGGUUCCAGCGGAGGAGAGCGAUAUUGAGGGGAAGGAGUCUUGGGAGGAUCUUCAGGCUGAGCUGAUAAACCAGCAAAAGCAGCUUGCCCAGGAUCAGCAGAGUGGGACCGUUGAACUGAAGGAGUCCUGGGAUGACCUUCAGAGUGAGUGGAUGAGCCAGGUAAAGCAGCCGUCCAAGGUGUGCAGAAAGCAAGGCUAGGCACGGUGAACCACACUGUGACAGUGUUUUAGAUUGAACUGCUUUACUCUUAUUUUCCUUCUUUGUAUUCUGUGCAUGGCUGCAAUCCAGGACCAAGUCAAAGACAGCCCUGAGUCGAAGGAUUCAGAGGAUGCCCUUCAGAGUCUCCAAGGGCAGCUGUACCAGGUGAGCAUGUAGCAGGUCACAGUUGUGCAAACAGUGAUCUACAUUGUACUACAUUUCUUU